CGAGCGACGCGGCCGAAAGCAACUGAAGUGAACCAUUGUGAAAAAACCCUGAGCAUCAUUGACCCUCGCACAAACUGCGACCCCUGGUGUUCUUAUCGAAAAAACGUUUUCAGGCAAAACAUUUACUGUACUGUUAUUAUAUAUAUUUUUUUUUUAACCGCAAACAUCAUGGCACCAUUGUCAAGACAGAAGUGGACUGCCCUGGUCGCUGUGCUAUAUAACGAGGAAACAGUCUAGAUGCCCUGCCGCCAUGCUGACUCUCACAGGCUCUACACUCACGUGAGACGUUGGGGCCAGUGCGAAAGUGGGUUGGUGAGAGGAAAUAUGCGAGAGAGCGGGCCUCAAAAGCAGCACGUGCCACACAAAUAAUAAUCUUAAAUUUACAUUCGGCCACACGAACUUCUGAAAAGAGGAAGCAAACUUGGGAGGGGUCUAAAGAAACACAGGAAGUGUGAAUAUUGUACAUGUGCGUACUGCAAAACAAACUACUGAUUGUGUCCUCUGUCCCUUGCUGACAUACAAACUUAACUGCAGAGAGAAGAAACAGCUGAGUGAAAGACAAAGACAACGUGUCUUUUGCAUGGCGAGGCUUUAUCAGGAGGAAAGAACAGGUGCUAUUAAUGACAUCAAAUGUUGGGGCCCCAAAUAUUGCAGGCUGGUAUUUGGCCAACUCCCAAAGAUGCCAGAAUGGAACAUUGCGGCAGUGAGAAAUGAUUGCCAAUCGGCAGGGUGAGGUGAUUAUUUAUCUGUCACAGAUGAACAAGUGACAUGGACAUUGUGUUCAUGGUGUGACAUUACAAUGUUGCUCGAAUUUCCAGUUGGGACGGUGUCUAUUAUACGCAGCCUACCCCUGAAGAUAUGAGGCCGGCAGGGUCAUAUGGGUCGCUGGUUUAUUGCAGAGCCGCCGUAUUAACUCAAUGGCUACAACAUUAGGUAUACCUCCACAAUUCAAUGAGAUCCAAUGCAACAGUUGUAUCAAAACUUUUACAAAGAUAACGAUGCUUGUGGUGUUACUUGACAAAAUUGUUGAUACAGUCUUGGAUCUCAUUGGAUUGUACAGUUGUACCUAAUGAAGUGGUCUGUAAGUGUAAAGAUGGACAACCAUUCACAUUUACAGCUAUAAAGUGUACCACUUCAGUAGUGUAAACAGAAAUCUACCCAUUUUCUGAACCACUUAUCCUCACUAGGGUCUCAGAUGAGUUAGAGCCUAUCCCAGCUGACUUUGAGCAAGAGGUGGGGUACACCCUGAACUGGUCGCUAGCCAAUCACAGGUCUUAAGCAUCUUGAGUGUAAUAAUAUCCUAAAUCAGUAUUUUUAGGGGGGGGUGUAAAUGAAAAGGACCAACUAUACAUUUGACCUUGUUGCUUACAAUCAUUCAAAAUGAAUACUCUUGACAAACAAAAAAAGAAAUCAUAGAAAUAAUUCCCGAAAGAAGACUGCUUUGGAGCCCGAAAAUGAAGAGAUGUCACGGAUGAUGCCAGACAUUCUGUGAUAACUGCUUUGCAAUAACAAAUCAUAGCCAGAACCUUAUCUACUGCAUAUACAAAAUUGAUAAGAAGAUGAUAAUCAUAAUCAUAAUGAUAAGAAACUGCUUGGAAGCGAAUGGACACGCCGAUGUUUUUGUAACCCCCGAUGAUUCCACAGAACAUCAGUAUUGAAGGCGUGGACAGAGCCACAGUCAAUGUGGAAAUAAGUUAUUAACAACAUCACAACACACAGAAUCUGAGACCCAUCCUUUCCAUAUUUCCCAUGAUAGUAUCGAUACAAACUGUAUUCUAAAAACAUGUUUUGAUAAACGUCUUCUUGAGGCUACUUGGCAAACACGGAUAUAAACAUAAAAUAAACAUUUCACGUGUCAUGUUCGGGGUGCAAUGGGUUCAGUCUGCUUUGAGAAAGGUGUGUGUAUAAAUAAACAAAGGAGUGGCAUCUUUACUGGCGGACCUUCACGAAAAAAGGGGAAGUGAGAGAAGCUAGAGGCAAAGGUGAAGAGGUGGCAAGAUUAGUUAGUUUAUAGAAUACUGUACUUGUGUUACACGAGGCAGGUGGCGACAAGAGCAAGGAGAAGGCCACUCAACACAAAUUCAGAAGUCAAGAAGUUUGGUUUCUUUAGUAAGGUUUUUUUUUAUGGUUAAUGACUUCACCUCUUGCUACAAUGAUAUUACAGGAGUUACAUCUGACACAAUCCAAUUAGAUCCAAUAAAAGACCUGCAUAAGACCUAAGUACGGCUAUGACCUAAAAUUCCUAUCACAGUAUAAAUUGAAUCCCGAAAUAACACAAAACUCAUUACGCCCCGUGUUAAAACGCCGCCCAGUGACACACUUGGGAGUCCGGCAUGAGUCACCCCGUCCACCACUGUAUAAGAACUUGAGCUGCCCAUUGACGUAGUUGCAUGAUUGGUCGGCAGUCACAUUAUGUCCCCACCAAUGAGUGUAAAUUGGCUUGUGUACUUAUUUUACAAUUAGAGUCCACAAUAACAUUUUGAAAGUGAGCCUCCUAAUGUGAUUUAUUUUUUAUUUUUUUUGUAAGCUACCAUUUUUCAUAAUGCAUGUACACACUGCUAUCUACAAUAGUGCUACUUGAUUGACAGUUAGCAGUUGAGGGGGGCGUGGUUUCAGCACAUUCAGCGGCCACGUUUGAGAGCGGAGAAAAUGGCUUGAUUUUUUUCCCCCAUUUUGAAGCCUCAUUUUAUACAACUGCUGAUUUUUUUUAUAUUUUAUAUUCGGCACGGUUGUUAACAACAAACUUCUCUGGGGUGUGUGAAAUUUCCAUCCAUCCAUCCAUUUUCUGUACCACUUUAUCCUCACAUGGGUCGCGGGCGUGCUGGAGCCUAUCCCAGCUAUCUUCGGGCGAGAGGCGGGGUACACCCUGAACUCCGGGCACUCCGGUUUCCUCCCAUAUCCCAAAAACAUGCAUUAAUUGGAGACUCUAAA